rnacentral:tRNA from 1 species
GGGCGCUUAGCUCAGCGGGAGAGCGCUUCCCUGACACGGAAGAGGUCACUGGUUCGAUCCCAGUAGCGCCCACCA